GACGAACCGUGCGAACGUUAUUCGGAAUCACUGGGCUUAAAGCGCGUGUAGGCGGAUCGGCGCGUCGGCGACUGAAAGCCCCCGGCUCAACCGGGGAAGCGGCGCCGAAACGGCCGGUCUGGAGGGGCGUAGGGGGACCUGGAACUUCCGGUGGAGCGGUGAAAUGCGUUGAGAUCGGAAGGAACGCCCGUGGCGAAAGCGAGGUCCUGGACGCCUGCUGACGCUGAGACGCGAAAGCCAGGGGAGCGAA
rnacentral:rRNA from 1 species